rnacentral:misc_RNA from 1 species
GAGUUGGUUCUUUAACAAUGGAGCGCUUUUAUAUAAGAAGGGGGAAGAGUCCAACCCCGUCCCUGUCGAACCAACGGGCUCGAACCUUCUCCAAGGAGGUUCAAAUGAUGGUGAAUACUGGUUGGACCUUCCUGUGGAUAAAAAAGCCAAAGAGAGAGUCAAGAAAGGAGAUUUACAAGAAACUGAGGUAUAUUUACACAUUAAACCAAUGCUGGGAGCAACCUUCACAGACAUAGUUGUGUGGGUGUUUUAUCCUUUCAAUGGUCCUGCCAAGGCUAAAGUUGAACUCAUCAACGCUCCAUUAGGAAGGAUAGGAGAACAUGUUGGUGACUGGGAGCAUUUGACAUUGAGAAUCAGCAACUUCAAUGGGGAGCUAUGGAGUGUUUACUUCUCCCAACACAGUGGGGGUUCUUGGUUCAAUGCCUCAGAGCUUGAGUUUGAAAAUGGAAACAAAGCUGUGGGCUACGCAUCGUGGCACGGCCAUGCCAUGUAUUCCAGGCCAGGUCUAGUAUUACAAGGGAGUAAUGGGAUCGGAAUCAGGAACGAUACUGCCAAAAGUAAAAUGGUGUUGGAUACUGGAGCAAGAUUCUCGGUUGUUGCCGCUGAGUAUUUGGGCAAGGCUUUUAUCGAGCCUCCAUGGCUCAAUUACAUGAGGGAAUGGGGUCCAAAAAUUAGUUACGACAUAGCGGAGGAGAUAAAGAAAGUGGAGAAAAUAUUACCUGGAAAACUCAAAUCUUCUUUUCAGAAGCUUGUCAAUAACCUACCAAAUGAAAUUCUCGGGGAAGAAGGACCCACAGGUCCCAAACUGAAGAGAAACUGGAAUGGAGAUGAAGGUUGAAAUAUUAUCGAACGCCUCCAGAUAUGUUAUGCUAAUAAACAAUCAACAUAGAUCUGAGGAACCAACAAAAAUCAGAAUCGGUGUUAAUAUGUACAUGUAUACAUGAUUAAAACAAAAACACAAUAUAUAUAUGUGUGUGUGUGACAUGGUAACAAGUUCUCAAAUUAUCCUUGGUUCUAUGUACUUGAUAUAUGCAGUGGCAAUGUGAUUCGUGAUGGUGUGUGCAUUAUUGCUUCUGUGAUUCAACAAUUAUCUUGAAAUUUAAAUAUGUUUUUAUGGACCCUGAAUUGUGACCCGACCAGAAAGUUUCGCGCGACCUGAUUGAGAUAAAAAGUGAGAUCUGUAUUGAUAAUGAG